UACAGAGGUCUCGAGCGUUGUUCGGAUUCAUUGGGCGUAAAGGGUGCGUAGGUGGUUUGGUAAGUCGGAUGUGAAAUCCCGGGGCUCAACCCCGGAACUGCAUUCGAUACUGCUUUAACUUGAGUGCUGGAGAGGAGAUCGGAAUUUACGGUGUAGCAGUGAAAUGCGUAGAUAUCGUAAGGAAGACCAGUGGCGAAGGCGGAUCUCGUGGACAGCAACUGACACUGAGGCACGAAGGCCAGGGAGCAACGGG
rnacentral:rRNA from 1 species